rnacentral:rRNA from 1 species
UAAGGAAUAUUGGUCAAUGGACGCAAGUCUGAACCAGCCAUGCCGCGUGAAGGAUGAAGGUCCUCUGGAUUGUAAACUUCUUUUAUCUGGGACGAAAACGGGAUUUUUAUCUCAAUUGACGGUACCAGAGGAAUAAGCACCGGCUAACUCCGUGCCAGCAGCCGCGGUAAUACGGAGGGUGCGAGCGUUAUCCGGAUUUACUGGGUUUAAAGGGUGCGUAGGUGGGCUUAUAAGUCAGUGGUGAAAUCUCCGAGCUUAACUUGGAAACUGCCGUUGAUACUAUAGGUCUUGAAUUAUCUGGAAGUAAGCGGAAUAUGUCAUGUAGCGGUGAAAUGCUUAGAUAUGACAUAGAACACCAAUUGCGAAGGCAGCUUACUACACAAUCAUUGACACUGAGGCACGAAAGCGUGGGUAGCGAACA